UACGAAGGGGGCUAGCGUUGCUCGGAAUCACUGGGCGUAAAGGGUGCGUAGGCGGGUCUUUAAGUCAGGGGUGAAAUCCUGGAGCUCAACUCCAGAACUGCCUUUGAUACUGAAGAUCUUGAGUUCGGAGAGGUGAGUGGAACUGCGAGUGUAGAGGUGAAAUUCGUAGAUAUUCGCAAGAACACCAGUGGCGAAGGCGGCUCACUGGCCCGAUACUGACGCUGAGGCACGAAAGCGUGGGAGCAAACAGGG
rnacentral:rRNA from 1 species